rnacentral:tRNA from 1 species
GAGAGGUGUCCGAGUGGUCGAAGGUGCUUGACUCGAAAUCAAGUUCGGCUAAUAACCGACGUGGGUUCGAAUCCCACCCUCUCC